rnacentral:rRNA from 1 species
GUCAUCAUGGCCUUUAUGGAGUGGGCUACACACGUGCUACAAUGGUGGCUACAAUGGGCUGCAAAGUCGCGAGGCUAAGCUAAUCCCUUAAAAGCCAUCUCAGUUCGGAUUGUACUCUGCAACUCGGGUUCAUGAAGUUGGAAUCGCUAGUAAUCGUGGAUCAGCACGCCACGGUGAAUACGUUCUCGGGUCUUGUACACACUGCCCGUCACGCCAUGGGAAUUGGUUUCACUCGAAGCU